UGAUGAGUCCAAAAUAGGACGAAACUCAAGUC
rnacentral:hammerhead_ribozyme from 1 species